AACGCAUAUUGCACCCUCUGGUCAUUCCGGAGGGUAUGCCUGUUUGAGUGUCAUUAAUAUAUCAAACCAAUUAACUUGUUUUAUUGGUGUUGGAUGUUGAGGGUUGCUGGAUUCUAUUGAUCAGCUCCCUUUGAAUGCAUUAGCUUAGAAUGCAUAAGCCAUUUUAGUUUAGGCUAAUAUGAAUACAAUCUAUUAGAUGCUUUCACUGAAGUGUGCUUAUCUGAGCUUACAACUGUCUUUUAGACAAUUUUAAUCUUGAUCUUGACCUCAAAUCAGGUAGGACUACCCGCUGAACUUAA
rnacentral:misc_RNA from 1 species